rnacentral:misc_RNA from 1 species
GGCAGCUCAAAGAACCAUAUGAACCCUAAAAAUGGCACUACCGAAACCCAUUUUCUUUCUUUUUUUCCUUUUUUUCAGUUCUUUUAUUCGUCCAUUGACUUGCAAAACUAGCAAUUUUCAAAAUCCAGCGUCUAGUAAUUUAUUUUAGUAACAUAAUUAAGCAGCUGCAUCCUGCAGGAUGAGCAAUUCAUAAACUAGUAACGUUUUUAUUUGUUACAAUUUAAGAACCUAAAAUAAUCAGUACUAAGUUAAUAUUCUAUAUUUAAAUGCUGUACAAUCACGCAUACGUACAAUGAAUUUCAAAAUUCUAAGAUCAAAUUUUUCGUAUUUGGCCUGUCCUUCAACAAUUUCACCUACUUGUUUUCAUUUUAAUACACCAAAUUG